GGAUGCAAGCGUUGUCCGGAUUUAUUGGGCGUAAAGAGUUCGUAGGCGGUUAGUUAAGUCUGGUGUUAAAUCCCGUGGCCCAACCACGGAGCUGCAUCAGAUACUGGCUAACUUGAGUGCGGUAGAGGCGAGUGGAAUUCCCAGUGUAGCGGUGAAAUGCGUAGAUAUUGGGAAGAACACCAGUGGCGUAAGCGACUCGCUGGGCCGUAACUGACGCUGAGGAACGAAAGCCAGGGGAGCGAAAGGGAUUAGAUACCCCAGUAGUCGGCGGGGGCGGCGGGACGGGCGCG
rnacentral:rRNA from 1 species